rnacentral:rRNA from 1 species
CGGGGGAGCCCAGCGUGGUUCGGAUUUACUGGGCGUAAAGGGCGCGUAGGCGGCCACCGCAAGUCGACUGUGAAAUCUCCGGGCUUAACCCGGAAAGGUCAGCCGAUACUGCGGGGCUAGAGUGCAGAAGGGGCAACUGGAAUUCUCGGUGUAGCGGUGAAAUGCGUAGAUAUCGAGAGGAACACCUGCGGCGAAGGCGGGUUGCUGGGCUGACACUGACGCUGAUGCGCGAAAGCUAGGGGAGCGAACGGGAUUAGAUACCCCGGUAGUCCUAGCCUUAAACGAUGAAUGCUUGGUGUCUGGGGUUUUAUAGUCCCCGGGUGCCGUCGCUAACGCUUUAAGCAUUCCGCCUGGGGAGUACGGUCGCAAGACUG